rnacentral:rRNA from 1 species
AGGGAAUAUUAGAAAUGGACGAAAGUCUGAUCUAGCGACACCGCGUGUGCGAAGAAGGCCUUCGGGUUGUAAAGCACUUUUUGGAAGGAAUAGGAAGGAAGGUACUUCCAGAAUAAGUCUCGGCUAACUACGUGCCAGCAGCCGCGGUAACACGUAGGAGGCGAACGUUAUCCGGAUUUACUGGGCGUAAAGCGCGUGUAGGUGGUUCUGUAAGUAGGGCGUGAAAGCUCCUGGCUCAACUGGGAGAGGCCGUUCUAAACUGCAGAGCUAGAGGAUGGUAGAGGGAGGUGGAAUUCCAGGUGUAGCGGUGGAAUGCGCAGAUAUCUGGAGGAACACCAGUGGCGAAGGCGGCCUCCUGGACCAUUCCCGACACUCAGACGCGAAAGCUAGGGUAGCAAACGG